CCCCUGCGUAUAUAUUCAAGUGUAUAAAUUCAGGAUGAGAUGAUUAGGAAAGAAUGCUUUUGCUGAUUUCAUAGUAUUUAGUGACAGCUUCAAAAGCGGCAGCAAGAGCAUUUUAGUAUUUGAGAUGAUCGGUGGCUUACUGUUGAGUGCACGGACCACUGGGUUUUGCAUGAUUUCUCUUCAGGGUUCAUUUUUGUUUUCGGGGAUAUGGAUUUCAUAACUUAUUCUGCAUAUAUGACGUGUAUAAGGGUACAAGGAUAAAUGUCUUUGGGGGUUUUCAGAUUUUGAGGGUUGAUGGUGUAACAUGGGGAUUUUUAUAGAAUUGUAUAGGUUGUGAGACGGACUCUUUUUGAAUUAGUCUCAUAAAAUUGUUCUCGAGAUAGAAGUUGCUUUGUAUCUAAAGAUGUGGUAUGUAAAUUGAAUCAUGGUACUGUGGUAUGUAAAUUGAAUCAUGGUACUGUUAGAAGUAAAAGAAAGAUCUACCAACUAAUAGUGGGACAAUUUCAAACAAAUUGUCUGAAUGAAGUCUGAUUUUUGCUACUACUUUGUCAUGAAAUAGGAUUUACUUGUCCUGUCAAUUAGACAAGCAUGCAGAAAGGGAGCUGUGUACCUACGCACUCUGCACAAAACUCGCACAGAAUGAGCUCAAUCAUUGACGAACUCCGACACCUUGCUGGCCAUACAUUUAUUUAGAUAAGGUGAAUGUAAACAUUGAUAAACACUAACUUAAUAGUUUAUGCCAUCAUUAGGAAUUAGAAAUAUACAAUUAGGUGGUUAAGACUGUAAUGCAUCAGCAUGCACCGAGUUAAAACUGAAAAGCGACUGCAACCAUUAUAAUACCAGGUCCACUGCACGUUACUACGCAUUCACGACGUUGAGUCAUAAUUGGAGGCAUCUGAGCAGGAGAGAAUCUACUCGAGUCCAUUAAAAAAGCAAGAGAAGGUACUGGAGCAGAAAGUCAGGCCAUUCUACUUGUAUCUGCUUGCUCCCCCUUUUGUCUUCCAUUCAACUUCAAUUCAAGAUCAAUGAGGAAGUAACAUUUGUUAUGCUCUCUGGUAUAGUGGACAUGACCAUUCAUCUUAUUAAGUAGUUUCCGAGACAGGUUUAGCCCCAGGCCUUCUUGUGUAGUCCGGUGAUUUCCUCCCUCAAACAUCUCUUGGAUGAGAGCAGAAGGCAAGCCCUGACCCAUAUGUGUCAUUCUGAUCUGCAAACGUAUAAAUUCAUUACCAUCUUGUAUCAUCUUCAGACCAGGUGAAAUCUUGAUUUCUACCCAGCCAUCUGGAGAAGGAGCAUGUUGAACCACACUAAGCAAGAUAUCUGACAAGAUCAGCUGAAGCCUAAUUUGAUCACCAUACAAAGCCAGCGUUUUGAUUUCCUCUGGAAUCUCAUGAAAUAGUUUUAUAUUCCUUUCCCUCAGCAAUAUCAUGACUUGACUAACGAUGGCAUCUAAAACAUUUCCCAUAAGAAAUUCUUCUGUCUUGAGCUCAAUGUUGCUUGCAAAGCUCUGCCCAAAAUACCUUCAACAACUCCACAAGAGUCCUCGUGAACAAUUUCAUGAACCAGGGACUUUCCCAUUGCUUCACUGGUUUGUAAUCCAGUCAGCUCUGCAACUUUGGCAUUCCAUCCAUUGACGAGACCUGCUGAAUCAACCCCAAAAAUUGGUGCUGUAGCUGUCUCAAUCAAUCUAACCAUUUCACAUGCCACUGAACUUAGUUCAUCUAUCCCCCGCAUCUCAGUGUCCUUCUGCUGAGCAUAGACCAUUGCCUUUGAACCACUGUCCUCCAUAUCCGGAAACGAGUCUCUAAUUAUUAGCUGUAAAGAAUGAAUAGCAUUAAUUUCUGAAACCUCCCAAGGCAAACUUUUGCUCUUCACCACCUCCAGGAAAGCAUUAAACGAUGAUCUUGGGUGCAUUCUUUCACCAUCAUCUUUAUCUUCUUGAUGAUGCUUGGCUCCCCCCCAUUUGACUUCCUUUGCAGUGUGAGACCUGAACCAGAACAAAAAAUCUCUUGAAGUGAUCCUAGCAGUAGCGAUGCCACAAACAGCAUCACCCAGUAAUGCAGCACCUGGAUAACCAGCACCAGCCAAGCUAUCAGUACUCAACCCGGUAGAAUCUCCAUGAUUGAUGAGCAGCCACUCUGCAAUAUCUUUUACCUGUGAUUCAGUUGGAGUUAUACCCAGCAACCAACAUUUCCCUCCAUAAUAUAGUGCAGCUCCAUCACACUUCACAAGAUCCAUAAUACUAGGCGAUUGAGUGACAAUACCAAAAGGGGCAUCUCGGAGAAGCAUGUCACAGAGCAACGUCUGAGUCCUGAGGAUCUUCUUUUCCACCAACUGUGCUGCCAACUGUAGCUCCAUGUAGAGCUGUAGCCCAAAAGCCUGCAUGAGUAACUCACAUGCAUAACGAAGAGGGAAAGGGACGUAGCGUGGGGAAGUGUGAUGGCACACAACCAGCCCCCAAAGCCUGGUUGAAUCAUUACCAUUUAUGAUAACUGCCAUUACUAAUGAAGCUAUGGAACCCAUAUUGGCCAUGUACUGCGUGUGGCAGCCAUGGGGUGACCGAAGGGUUGAAUUGACCAAACAAAGAGGGUGCUUCAAUUCUUCACUUUGGAUGAUCCUAACUGGACUGGCACGGCAAUCACAAAUCAUCCUCACGCGAUUCUGCUUGAACAAGAAACGUGCUGCUUGAGGAAUAUCUGUGGCAGGAUAGUGCAAACCCAAGUAAGGCUCCAAAUCAGACCUCCUAAUUUCUGACACCACUUCACCAUGAUCAUCAUCGUGGAACUUAUAUACCAUGACUCUGUCAUACCCAGUAAGUUUUUGAACAUCCUCCACGACCGUAUCACACAACACCCCAAUAUCACCACCAGGGAGCGACUGCAUCCUAGAAAUCGCACGAACAGCGAGUUUCUGUGACUGCACAGCGCCAGCAAGAGAGAGAACAGGAUCACUAGAUCUUGCAGGCUCCAAAUCAAUUACAAUUCCCACAUCAAUCCUAUGCAGUAUAGCAUAAAAUGGCUUCUGUGUACUCCUAGAAUGAACCCAAAUCGGGUUUAACAUUGAGAUCUCCCUUGAAACAGCAGCUUUUGUCAAUGAAACCCCCGAUUGAGGCGUAAAAAGGGUUCUUGCAUCGAUUCCAAUCAAACCCUUUACUUGCUUGGACUCGAGUUCAUUGUGUGAACUCAGACCCAACAAUUGAAAGCAAUUUUCACUGAAACCAAUGAUCCUAAAAGUGGGUUCUUCAAUUGCAAGCAUGCAACCUAAGGACUGAAUAAGGCCACCUCUUUGGAUUCUUGAUAGAUAAGCAGUUAUUUGCUCUUCAGGUACAGUAUUUGGAGCCGAAAGCACUGCUCUUGAGUAGUUAAAGCACUUACCAGAGACACCAGAUUGCUCAAACUCAGCUAAAAGCCCAGCAUCGGCAUUGUACUGGGCAAUGGUGGCAUUACUUCUACUGUUAGUGGCCAAAGGUCUCAUACUGCUAGCAGCUGAUGAUGACAGGGUUGUUGUGGCUCCUCUGCCGCUCUGGAACCCCAUCUUAUAGAAGGCUCCGAAUUAUGAGAACUAGAUUUUCCAAGAAGCUCAUGUGGAUGUCGAUAUUGGUGGAGGAGGAGUAGCUGGACAUUUAUCAUCAGUGUACUUGCUGCUGCUGGUUUCUUGGCUCUUUGAUGAUGAUGACGACACUGGCUUUCACAAGUCCCUUUCAUAUUUCUGUGUGGGCUUCUUUACCAUAUUCUCCUGUAAAAAAUUUAGUAGUUUCGAACCAAAUGUGCUGUGUCUACUGACCCUCCACCUUUCUCCAUCUCUUGUUUCCUUGGGGUCCAUGCAAAUGCCUGUCACUGAGUCCCACUCUGUUAUCUUCUUGGACUGCAGAAAUGCAAGGUCCAGCAAGGAAAACCAAUAUCCUCAUA
rnacentral:misc_RNA from 1 species